rnacentral:rRNA from 1 species
AUUGAACGCUGGCGGCAGGCCUAACACAUGCAAGUCGAACGAGUGGCGGGCGGGUGAGUACUGGGCGGGAAACUGGACGAAGGGGGGGGACAACUAAUGCAAACGGUAGAUAAUCCCACAUCCCAUGGGGUGUGCCCCGGUAGGACUAGCUAGUAGGUGGGGGAAUGGCGAACCGAGGCGACCAUCCCUAGCCGGUUUGAGAGGAUGACCAGCCACACUGGAACUGAUACACGGUCCAGACUCCUACGGGAGGCAGCAGGGGGGAAUAUUGGAGAAUGGGCGCAAGCCUGAUGCAGCCAUGCCGCGUGUGUGAAGAGGGCCUUCGGAUUGUAAAGUACUUUCAGCUGGGAGGCGUUGCUCGCAGAGGAAGCACCGGCUAACUCCGUGCCAGCAGCCGCGGUAAUAC